UGUUCAAGCAUAGAUUGAAGAGAGAGGGAUAGGAAACGGAGUGGUGCACGUGAUGAUCUUACAUUGAAUCUGCAGUGGAGCCUCGAAAAUUAUCCGCGCUACGCCCUAUGAACGAGGCUAUUAAGCACACUUUUGCCGGGUAACUCCCAAAGCUGUGUUUCCUCGAGACAUAAUCUCUUUCAGCAACUUAAAACACGCCUAGUCCAUGAGCCACGUGUAGUACUUGCUAAUGACUGACCACACCCAGUAAAAAGAGACUUUCCAAUAAAGUUAUAUGUUCCCAAGGCUGUUUUAGAGCUAUUGGAACAUGUAACGUGUAAGCGUGCUGGUUAUGACUACUACAAUAGGUAUAGACCUUGAAAUAUAAGUGAGUUGCACGGACUAAGCACAGUUACUUGUAGUUUAUUAUGCACUGAGUGUAGAAAUAGAUAUUGUUGUGAUGGCCUCGAUUAAACCGCAGCGUAGCGCGGAUGUUACUCGAGAUACCAACCGUUUCCUAUCCCUCUAACUCUUCAAUCUAUGGUUCAAGCUACAUUUUGCUCGCUUUUAUUAGACAAAGGAGCUUUAACACCGAAAGCUGCCACUAUCAAAAGUACUAACUUGUUGUGUGGAGGCUACUCAUGCUGUAAACGCAGUGCUAGAACAUCCAGGUAAGCAGACCUAGUCACAAGCUUCUUAGCUUUUGCUCGACAAAGAAGCUUUAAUAUCAAAAUCUGCCACUAUUUAAAUCAAGAUAUUGUUGUGUGAAGGCUAUCCAUGCUGUAAACGCAGUGCUGUGACAUCCAGGUGAGUAGAAAAGCCAAUCACAAACAAACAAACUAGAGCACUAAAGUGCCAACCCUCGGCUGGUGACAUGAUAACAAAGAAACCAGAAGAGUGAUAAUGCAGUGCAUGUAGCAUGUAUGACUAGCAUGCGCUAGAGCAAUAAAACUAAACUAACAACGUACAUGCAUGAGACAUGCACUAUGGACUGGGAUCACAGCAAAGAAGCCUGGAGUCUUAGACUAAGAGAAGUAUGGCUCCUUCCAGGCUGGAGUACGUAUAGGAUCCAGAGUCAGUCAACAACCAGUCACAAUUCUACUUUCUUGACAAUUGUUCUUGGUACGGGAUCACUUCAGCUGAAAAUACAUAAUCAAGCCUUGACUACGUAUUUUCAGCUGAAGUGAUCCCGUACCUUGACUCAAGGCCACGUGGCAAGUUUUAGCUUCUUAGCUUUUGCUCGCUUUUACUCGACAAAGAAGCUUUAACAUCAAAAUCUGCCACUAUUUAAACCAAGAUAUUGUUGUGUGAAGACUACCUAUGCUGCAAACGCAGUGCUAUGGCAUCCAGGUGAGUAGAUAUACUCGUUACAAACAAACAAACAAACAAACAAACAGACAAACAGACAGACUACUAUAACCCGUGGCCGCCCACGCGCCUCGGGUUAACAAACAAACAAACGAACAGACUACUAUACCCGUGGCCGCCCACGCGCCUCGGGUAACAAACAAACAAACAAACAAACCAACAGACUACUAUACCCGUGGCCACCCACGCGCCUCGGGUAACAAACCAACAGACUACUAUACCCGUGGCCGCCCACGCGCGCCUCGGGUAAUUAUUGCAUGCAUAUGGCACUAAAGCAAACACGUACAAGGUGGAAAUCAUGCAUACAAGUUGAGGUGGGGUGGGGAUGUGCCCGGGGCACUUUGCUAUAUAAUUAUUUUAUGCAGGAAAUGUAUAUAAAACAGCUAUUGUAUGAGUACAAUGUACUGUGACCUCACAUCCUAUAGGGGACAUCCUGCGUGGUAGUAGAGUCUAUACAUAGCCUCGAUCCCAGGCCGAGUUUUCGCUUUUAUAACGGUUAGGCGAACAACUGGGCCUGGUACUAGUUGUCUGCGCAUGCGUCAAUCGUUCGUCAGAUUCUGACGAAUGGAUAUUCUCGUUCACUUUCGUGACAUUUAUAUUCGUGUACUAUCGUGUACUAGAAGUCAGUUCCCGUUUUAUCAUUAUUGGAAUCGAUUGGAAUGGCUCUUAGCUGAAGCUUCUCUCUUCUCUGAAGCUUAUUCUGAAGACUGAACAACAAGGGAAGAGGUAUAAAGCUUUGUCAAGCUUGUUAAGGUCAGAUAUUUUUGUGUGGGCCCUAUGGCCGGCUAUGCUAUCAAGUCUUGUUCAUGUUUGGCAAGAAUGUAGGUAGACUAUAGUUUCAUCAUUAAUAUGAUGGAUCAAGUGAAGAGUGUGAGCUAGAGAACUUGGUGCUGCCAUCAUCAGCUCGUCGACAAUGACACUAUAACCGAGAAAUUUAAUAUGUAUAGAUCUACAUGUAUUUAAAAUGUCUACUUCUCUGUACAGGAGCAAUGGCUAAUAUCCAGCUAUCCCAACAGUGCUCCUCUUGGCUAUACUAACGGACGAGACUGGACAGUUUGAGACACAGGACUGGAGUAUGACCUGCUCAUUCGAGCGUUGCUUGUGUAGCUCAGAGACAUCAAGAGAAUCUACAUUUUCUCAAGCAAUGAGUUACGAGUUGGGGCCUAGAAUCAGAGAAGUCCAGCAGCCUGCUAAAUCUUUUUGAAACGUAAUUUGAAGGCAUUCAAUCAUCCUGAAGUUGCCCUGGGUCACUGUAAUUGUGCUGCAGCACAACUGGCAACUCCCCAGGCCUUUGUGAAGCAGCUCCCUAUGUGCAUCUUUUGUGUAUUCACUCUGUGCAUUUUCUGUGUACAAAUUUCUAUUAUUGAUUUAUUAAAUAUUUUUGCCGACCACAAAUAUACAAUGAAAA